rnacentral:tRNA from 1 species
UGGCUCAGUGGUUAAAACAUUUGGCUGCUAACCAAAAGGUUGGUGGUUCGAACCCACC